rnacentral:rRNA from 1 species
AAGCUUGCUUCUCUUGAGAAGCGGCGGACGGGUGAGUAAUGCCUAGGAAUCUGCCUGGUAGUGGGGGAUAACGUUCGGAAACGAACGCUAAUACCGCAUACGUCCUACGGGAGAAAGCAGGGGACCUUCGGGCCUUGCGCUAUCAGAUGAGCCUAGGUCGGAUUAGCUAGUUGGUGGGGUAAUGGCUCACCAAGGCGACGAUCCGUAACUGGUCUGAGAGGAUGAUCAGUCACACUGGAACUGAGACACGGUCCAGACUCCUACGGGAGGCAGCAGUGGGGAAUAUUGGACAAUGGGCGAAAGCCUGAUCCAGCCAUGCCGCGUGUGUGAAGAAGGUCUUCGGAUUGUAAAGCACUUUAAGUUGGGAGGAAGGGCCAUUACCUAAUACGUGAUGGUUUUGACGUUACCGACAGAAUAAGCACCGGCUAACUCUGUGCCAGCAGCCGCGGUAAUACAGAGGGUGCAAGCGUUAAUCGGAAUUACUGGGCGUAAAGCGCGCGUAGGUGGUUUGUUAAGUUGGAUGUGAAAUCCCCGGGCUCAACCUGGGAACUGCAUUCAAAACUGACUGACUAGAGUAUGG